UAAUCGUUUUCCUAAUAUAAAUUUCGUCAUUAUAAUUGCGCUUCCUCUGUCCAAAGUUAUUCUGUUCUCUUAGUACACAAUUAUACAUACACAUAUAUUUAAAUACACAUAUAUUUUUGUAUACUUAUUUAUUACCGAAAGAACGACUAUUAUACUUAGUAUAGACCCCUAUCCAUCGACGAUAUCAUAUGUAAAAUGCGUGUUUCUAUACCAACACCUCAUAUUAACUUCUAUACAUUCGCGAAAUAAAGCGAAAUAAGUUUUAUCUUAAAGUCAUUUCGAAUUAUUCGGAAAGCAAGAAUAACAAUACAGUGCCUUGUUUCGACGAACGUAGAAGUGUUAGUGAAAUGUAUAAUAGACGUAUCUUGCGUUUAUUAUACAUCCUAACUUUGCUAAGCUUAGCUGAAGCCACUAUGUUGCCGAUGUUUAAAAAUUGAAAUACUCCGCUACGUGUGAAAACGCAAAUUUAAGUAGACCUAAUAUAUAUACAAAAUAUAUUUGCAGAUAAAUUAAAUAUAUAUUAGAUAUUAAAAUGCAAUUCCCCUAGUCUAAUGAACCUAUUUUACAUUUAAAAUAAAAUUGUGUAUUACAUACAUGUGUAAUAUACAUGUUGUAUAUUUUCACAAGGUGAAGCAACGAAAAUGUUUACCUCUCAAUCAAGUACUUUAGCAAAAAAUGUAAAGAUAAACAUCAUUUGCUUCUGAGAAUAAAACAGUGAUUUUAAUUUGAUCUCAACUGCUAGGUAGCAGUUAAGAAAAAAAAAAAAUAGUUUCAUGAGGAUGUAAAUAAUCUUGACAUGAUCAUGAACUUCAUGAUCACGUCAAGAUUUACAUCCUCAUGAAACUAUUUUUUCUUAACAACUUCAUUUCCCUGAAUUUUAUACAUAAAUUGUUUUUUUUUUUAACAAUGUAUUUUGUUUAUAUCAAUCACUUUAUCAUAUUAUUUGGAAUCUUUACCAAGAUCGCCCUAUCUAUUCAUCUUUAAAUAAUAUCAAUUUUAUACUAUCUUUAUUCUUAUUAUUUGCAGAAUCGAGGAAAAUCGAUUUACAUAAGAAAAUUUUAAUUAAAAAAAAUAUAAUUUAUUUUGGCACAAAGACAUCACAAAAUUAAACUACAAUCACCAUUUUAUAUCCCACUCAAAAUCAAAUUUUUGUUUAAAACAUUUUCUGCUAAGAUACUUGAUCUAAAAGAUAAAAUAUUUUAUCCCUUUAACUGCUCCACGCUGUAUACGUACCGAACUAUUUCUGAAUUUCUAUUUUUAAUCAAUAUAAUUAAUUCGUGGACAUAACUUAGAAUUUCAAUUUUUAGAAACUCGAUUCAAAUAUGUAACUCUACUGUCACAAAUCUAAGCACUCCAGGGUCUUUGACAAAAUUUAAUUAGCAUUAAUUAAUGCUAAUUAAGCUCGUAGUAGCUUUAUAGUAGAGUUACACAUUUUUUACACUUAUGGACAACGAUGUGCUUAAUAAUUUGUAGUACAUGAAUAUGUAUAAACUACAACGGAAUAUAUUUAAUGUUAUAAAAGAAAUUACAGCAAAAAUUAAAAAAAGAUGGCCAGAGUAAACUGAAUUUUUUCAUUCAUUUAUUAGCAGAAAGGUUAAUAAGUCAGUCUACAAAUAUUCAACACGAGUAAUUUCUUUUGUAACAUUAAAUAUAAAAUAGUCUAAUGACUAGACUUCAUGCAUUGUUGCUAUUUGUACUCGUUCAAUAGCGCUUUAUCUCAAUCUUUAUUUUACGAAAUUUUUUUUCAUCAAACAUUGCAUUGCCGAACAAUGUAAACAUUCAAAUAGCAACAUCCUGUUUUGCAGGUACAAUCUAUCUCUUUUGAUUUUAAUGAUUUUCUGUAUGUCAAUUAUUAAAAUAUGAAAAUUUAUGAUAUACCACAAUGUGUUUUAUACAAAUUUUCAUAUGUUAAUAAUUGAAUAUGACGCGAAAUACAGAGUUAUAAAAAUCAGAAGAGAUAGAUUUUCAUAUUUUAAUAAUUGAAUAUAAUAAAUAUAGGAACAUUUAUUACUUGUACAACGAUUACAAAAUACAUUCACCACUUGUUAAUAU